AGAGAGAGACAUGCGCGCAUAUCAAUAAGCGGAGGAAAAGAAACUAACUAGGAUUCCCUCAGUAACGGCGAGUGAAGCGGGAAGAGCUCAAAUUUGAAAUCUUCAAGGUUCUACCUUGACGAAUUGUAGUUUAAAGAAGUGUUUUCUGUUGGAGUUUUGGUAAAAGUUCUUUGGAAUAGGACAUCAUAGAGGGUGAGAAUCCCGUAUUUGACCAUUAUUUCCAGCUUUGUGAUACACUUUCAAAGAGUCGGAUUGUUUGGGAAUGCAGUCCAAAAUGGGUGGUAAAUUUUUCAUCUUAAAGCUAAAUAUUGGCGAGAGACCGAUAGCGAACAAGUACCGUGAGGGAAAGAUGAAAAGAACUUUGAAAAGAGAGUUAAACAGUACGUGAAAUUGUCAAAAGGGAAGCGUUUGACACCAGUGUCGUUUUCUCGAAAAUCAAUUAAAAAAGGCAGGAUUUUGUGUUGUAUUGACUUUAUCAGCUUUCUGCACUCUUUUCUUGUCUUUUUUAAUGCACUUUUCGUUUAACAAGUCAACAUCAAUUUCUUUUGUUGUAAAAGGGUCAUUGGAAGGUGGCUUUCUUUUCGGAGAAAGUGUUUAUAGCCUUUGGCCUCUGCAAUCGGAGAGAUUGAGGUCUGCAGCGUAGAUCCUUCGGGGUUAGAUACAUUUGUGCUAAGUUAUAGCCUUUCAUAGACAACUUGUUGACUAUGAUCAGUCAUGUAGCUUACUCGCUUAUGCUAUUUUACCUACGCUUAGGAUGUUGAUGUGAUACUGCGAGCA
rnacentral:rRNA from 1 species